rnacentral:rRNA from 1 species
UGGGGAAUAUUGGACAAUGGGGGCAACCCUGAUCCAGCAAUGCCGCGUGUGUGAAGAAGGUUUUCGGAUUGUAAAGCACUUUCGGCGGGGACGAUGAUGACGGUACCCGCAGAAGAAGCCCCGGCUAACUUCGUGCCAGCAGCCGCGGUAAUACGAAGGGGGCUAGCGUUGCUCGGAAUGACUGGGCGUAAAGGGCGUGUAGGCGGUUUGUACAGUCAGAUGUGAAAUCCCCGGGCUUAACCUGGGAGCUGCAUUUGAGACGUGCAGACUAGAGUGUGAGAGAGGGUUGUGGAAUUCCCAGUGUAGAGGUGAAAUUCGUAGAUAUUGGGAAGAACACCGGUGGCGAAGGCGGCAACCUGGCUCAUUACUGACGCUGAGGCGCGAAAGCGUGGGGAGCAAACAGGAUUAGAUACCCUGGUAGUCCACGCUGUAAACGAUGUGUGCUGGAUGUUGGGUAACUUAGUUAUUCAGUGUCGUAGCUAACGCGAUAAGCACACCGCCUG